UUAUGUCUGCAUUUAAUUUAAUCAAAACACAAUUUUAAUCAUCAUACGAGUAGUUUUCAUACUUUUCCAAAAGAUCAUGACUCGUGAGAUUGUUUUAUAAAUCAUUUCAUCAAAGUCAUUUGUAAAAAAAAAUAAAGAAGUUACUGAACUGUAGCAUCUAUAAUAUUAUAAUAUAUCAGUCGUAUAAUAGUAAUCAUAAUAAUCAUAAUUGUAAUGAUACUUCUACAUGCCUUCGAAACUUUUUUAAAUAAUCAUAUAGCUUUCACUCUCCCAAACACACACAGUCCCAUAACCUCUCUCAAUAAGGUUGUGAAGGAGGACAAUUCUAUUGGUUAAGCGCCACCGCAUUCUCUUCCUGCUUUAACAAAAAAUGCAACCAAUGAUUUCAGACACUCAAGGGGGAAAAAAUUCAAGAAGAAGAUUAUAGAAACAUGACAUCAACUCAAAACGCAAGAUAACCUGAAAGCAAAGACAUACAUAAUACAUGGUUCAGCAUUCAAGAGGACAUAUUUCCAAACCCCAAAAAAGGAAUGGGCUUCUGCAUAGAUCCACAGGAGAUAGAACGUAACCAUGGUUAAAAAGAGGGAGGGAGAGACAGAAAGAUACAUUUCUAUCUGGCAGUAGCACACAGGAAAGAAUGGGACAGGAUAAGAACAGUAUAGAUGUCUUUAGAUUGGGUCAUGGUAAUAAUUUGGAGGACCACGUUACAUAAAGUACAACAUCAUGGGCCAUUGUGAUCCAGAUUAUAUUGAUAGGGCCUUAGACAACAUUAGCAUGAUACCAUCUGCCUUGUUGUGAAAUUGUUUGAUAUUACAACACUGUUGGAGCUAGAAACACAAGCAUUUCGCUACACCCGCAGUGACCAAUAAAAUUUGAUUUGAUUUAGAUAUAACAGGGAAUCUAACAUAGCAAAUCACAGCAGAGUUGCAUGCAUGCCUGCAUUGACCAUACUGAAAUUAGAUACAUUUAUAUUCAUUGGAUUUCAUAAAGUCUAUCUUUGUUUUGGAAAAAGCUAAGUUACAGUCAUUUCUAUGAUGAGUCCAUGGCAAGUUAUUGUCAGUAAAAGGGCAUGGAGAACAACACACACUGUUGUCAUCAGCCAGGACAGCCAUUGGUGGUACAUGAUGCAUUACUGCAUGUAAAAUGGACAUCUACAUGUGUAUGCCUUAGUGUGUGUGAUGACUGAUGACUGACCACCAAGCUAGUGUAAUCAAAUCGGAUUUAUUAGCUAGCCUGUUGUCAACAUCACAUCAACUACGGAGGCCCCCGAGGAUCAACCUUGACCACACAGUAUAUACUUACAGUGUGUUGUAAAGGCAGUUACAGUAUGUAUACUGGUUCAGGGUCACAACAUGGUCCAUAAGGUCAUUGGAUCUCAACCUUUUAGCAAAUAUGGAAAAUGGGAAAAUCAAGCGCAAGCAAGACAUAAUUUUAUUAGAAUGUUCUUGGGCCUUAUUUUGUGCGUGUUUGUUAGUGUGUGUGUGUGUGUGUGGGGGGGGGCAGCUAACAUGCUAACAUAGUAUUUUUAGAACACCUUUAAUGAGGGCAGCAGGAUGGGGCUAGUAAUAUUGUAGUUGCUGAGAAGAGACUUAUAUUUGGUGAUGCUUAUAUUGUCUCUCAGUACAUACUAUUUAGAGCUCUCUAAAAGAAGCAUGGCUUUAUUCUGGGCUUGUGUAGGUUUCUCUUGCAUACUGUAACUUAGAUAAGGCUCUACUUGUACAGAACACAUGUCCAUUUGCCCUUCCAGUCUCUAAAGCGCCCUUUUGUUUUGGGUAAUUAUGUAAAACAAUUUUGUAUACAGUUUUUGUUGUUGUUGUUCUGAACCCACUGCCCGCAAGUCAUGGUAAAACGAGUUUAACUAUGUGUAAUUUAAUUAGCCAUUAAGAUGUGGCCAUCUAUUGCUUUUAUGUAACUACAUUUUACAAAAAUAUAAACGCAACAUGCAACAAUUUCAAAGAUUUUAAUGAGUUACAGGUCACAUAUGGAAAUCAGUCAAUUGAAAUAAAUUCAUUAGACCCUAUUCUAUGGAUUUCACAACUGGGAAUACAGAUAUGCAUCUGUUGUCAAAAAAAAGGUAGGGGCGUGGAUCAGAAAACUAGUCAGUAGGGCCUCCUGAGUGGCGCAGCGGUCUAAGGCACUGUAUCGCAGUUCUAGAGGCGUCACUACAGACUUGGGUUCGAUUCCGGGCUGUAACACAACCGGCUGUGAUCGAGAGUCCCAAGGUGCGGCGCACAAUGGCCCAGCAUCGUCCGGGUUAGCGGAGGGUUUGGCUGGGUGGGGCUUUACUUGGCUCAUCGCGCUCUAGCGACUCCUUGUGGCGGGCCGGGCACCUGCAGGCUGUCGUCAGUUGAACAGUGUUUCCGCCGACACUGUCUGGCUUCUGGGUUAAGCAGGCUGGUGUUAAAAAGUGUGGUUUGGCGGGAGGAUGCAUGUUUCGGAGGAUGCAUGACUCAAGCUGUAGCGAUGAGACAAGAUUGAAAUUGAGGAGAAAAGGGGGGUGAAAUAUCCCACCCCCCCCAAAAAAAAUCUAUCUGAUGUCUGACCACCAUAUGCCUCAUGCAGUGUGACACAUCUCUCACAUAGUUGAUCAGGCUGUUGAUUUUAGCCUGUGGAAUGUUGUUCCACUCUACUUCAAUGGCUGUGCGAAGUUGAGGGAACUGGAACAUGCUGGUGUACAUGUCGAUCCAGAGCAUCCCAAACAUGCUCAAUGGGUGAGAAGUCUGCUGGGUAUGCAGGCCAAGGAAGAACUGGGACAUUUUCAGCUUUCAGGAAUUGUGUACAGAUCCUUGCGACAUGGGGCUGAGCAUUAUCAUGCUGAAACAUGACGUGAUGGCACGAUAAUAGGCCUCACGAUCUCGUCACUGUAUCUCUGUACAUGCAAAUUUCCAUCAGCAAACCGCUCGCCCACACAACACCAUACACACAUCUGCCUGGUACAGUUGAAACCGGUAUUGAUCUGUGAAGAGCACACUCUUAGGUACCAGUGGCCAUCUAAGGUGAACAUAUGCCAACUGAAGUUGUUUAUGACUCUGAACUGCAGUUAGGUCAAGACCCUGGUAAGGUCAAGGAGCACCCGAUGAACUUCCCUAAGAUCGCUUCUGACAGUUUGUGCAUAAAUUCUUCAAUUGUGCAAACCCAGUUUCAUCAGCUGUCCGGGUGGCUGGUCUCAGACGAUGUGAAGAAGCCAGAUGUGGAGGUCCUGGGCUGGCGUGGUUACAUGUGGUCUGCGGUUGUGAGGCCGGAUGGAUGUGAACGUUCAAAUCUCUGGCAACAGCUCUGGUGAACAUUCCUGCAGUCAGCAUGCCAAUUGUACGCUCCCUCAAAACUUGAGACAUCUGUGGCAUUGUGUUGUGUGACAAAACUGCACGUUUUUCUGUAAUGGUCAUGCUGUUUAAUCAGCUUCUAGAUAUGCCACACCUGUCAGAUGGAUGGACUAUCUUGGCAAAGGAGAAAUGCUCACUAAUAGGGAUUUAAACACAUUUGUGCACAAAAUUUGAAACAAAUACAUUUUUGUGCAUCUGGAACAUUUCUGUGAUCUUUUAUUUCAGCACAUGAAACAUGGGACCAACACUUUACAUGUUGCGUUUUAUUUUUAUUCAGUAUAAAUAAUCAAAGUCAAAAUUGCUAGAGUCUGUGACCGCUGUUGCAGAAACAUAUUUUUUGGGUUGCCCUUUUUAUAGUUUGCCCUCCCAAAAUGUUUGUUUACAGCCCUGUUGUGACAUCACACACUCUUACUGAUUUCGGUUUUGGGCUAGGGUCCAUGUUCUUCAUUUUGAUUUGUCAACCAUCCUCUCUCAUUUUCAUUUUUUUUACAUUAGCCUACCCUCCCUCCCUCUGAAUCUUUGUCUCUCUCUUUUUAACUCCUCUCUCAGAUGGACAGACAGAAUGAGUCUGUUUACUAGAAGAUUAUUUUCAGAUGUGCAGAAGUAUUGUAGGUGUAAUGCUGAUGUAGGUCUAUAGGGAUGAGGUGAGGAUAUAGGUGUAAUGCUGAUGUAGGUCUAUAGGGAUGAGGUGAUGAUAGAGGUGUAAUGCUGAUGUAGGUCUAUAGGGAUGAGGUGAUGAUAGAGGUGUAAUGCUGAUGUGGGUCUAUAGGGAUGAGGUGAUGAUAGAGGUGUAAUGCUGAUGUAGGUCUAUAGGGAUGAGGUGAGGAUAUAGGUGUAAUUCUGAUGUACUGUAGGUCUAUAGGGAUGAGGUGAUGAUAGAGGUGUAAUUCUGAUGUACUGUAGGUCUAUAGGGAUGAGGUGAUGAUAGAGGUGUAAUUCUGAUGUACUGUAGGUCUAUAGGGAUGAGGUGAUGAUAGAGGUGUAAUGCUGAUGUGGGUCUAUAGGGAUGAGGUGAUGAUAGAGGUGUAAUGCUGAUGUAGGUCUAUAGGGAUGAGGUGAUGAUAGAGGUAUAAUUCUGAUGUACUGUAGGUCUAUAGGGAUGAGGUUAUGAUAGAGGUGUAAUGCAGAUGUAGGUCUAUAUGGAUGAGGGGAGGAUAGAGGUUAAAUUCUGAUGUACUGUAGGUCUAUAGGGAUGAGGUGAUGAUAGAGGUGUAAUGCUGAUGUAGGUCUAUAGGGAUGAGGUGAUGAUAGAGUUGUAAUUCUGAUGUACUGUAGGUCUAUAGGGAUGAGGUGAUGAAAUAUGUGUAAUUCUGACAUACUGUAGGUCUAUAGGGAUGAGGUGAUGAUAGAGGUGUAAUGCUGAUGUAGGUCUAUAGGGAUGAUUGGAGGAUAGAGGUGUAAUUUGGGUGUACUGUAGGUCUAUAGGGAUGAGGUGAUGAUAGAGGUGUAAUGCUGAUGUAGGUCUAUAGCAUGGGUGUCAAACUCUGGCCCGUGGGCCAAAUUUGGCCCGCGGGGUAAUUAUAUUUGGCCCGCGAGACAAUACCAAAUUACUACUAGAGCUGGCCUGCCGGUAUUAUACAGCGCAUUCACCACUAAUACUACGAAUCCCAUAAUGCUCUGCUGUUUUCGCGCGCCAAUCAGGACAGGACCCAGAAACGCUCUCUCCUCUGUGACAGUAGUCAUAGCAACAUAGACGCUACAACUGUCAGCGUGCUAACCCUUCCCAAAAAUGGCGAAAAGAAAGGCAGAAAACAGGACCUUUCUGGACAAGUGGGAGGCAGAAUAUCUGUUUACAUAUGUAAAAGACAAACCUGUUUGUCUUGUUUGUGGAGUCAACGUGGCUGUAAGUAAGGAGUACAACAUUAGACGACACUAUGAAAUGAAACACCAUGACAAAUACAAGGACCUGGACAUGACUCAAAGGAGCCAGAAAGUAGAGGAGAUGAAAAGAAGUUUGGUUUCACAACAG
ensembl:lncRNA